AUCUCUGUAGAGUCUGCAUAUCAAUAAGCGGAGGAAAAGAAACUAACUAGGAUUCCCUUAGUAACGGCGAGUGAAGCGGGAAGAGCUCAAAUUUGAAAUCUUCAAGGUUUUACCUUGACGAAUUGUAGUUUAAAGAAGUGUUUUCUGUUGGUGUUUUGGUAAAAGUUCUUUGGAAUAGGACAUCAUAGAGGGUGAGAAUCCCGUAUUUGACCAUUACUUCCAGCGUUGUGAUACACUUUCAAAGAGUCGGAUUGUUGGGAAUGCAGUCCAAAAUGGGUGGUAAAUUUCAUCUAAAGCUAAAUAUUGGCGAGAGACCGAUAGCGAACAAGUACCGUGAGGGAAAGAUGAAAAGAACUUUGAAAAGAGAGUUAAACAGUACGUGAAAUUGUCAAAAGGGAAGCGUUUGACACCAGUGUUGUUUUCUCGAAAAUCAAUUAAAAAAAGUUGGAUUUUGUAUUGUUAAGACCUUAUCAGCUUACUGUACUCUUUUCUUGCUUUUUUUAAUGCACUUUUCGUUUAACAAGUCAACAUCAAUUUCUUUUGUUGUAAAAGAGUCAUUGGAAGGUGGCUUUCACUUCGGUGAAAGUGUUUAUAGCCUUUGGCUUCUGCAAUCGGAGAGAUUGAGGUCUGCAGCGUAGAUCCUUCGGGGCUAGAUACGUAGAUGCUAAGUUAUAGUUUUUUAUAGACAACUUGUUGACUAUAAUUAAUCAUGUAGCUUACUCGUUUGCGCUAUUUUACCUACGCUUAGGAUGUUGAUAUGCAUGACUGAUAU
rnacentral:rRNA from 1 species